AUUGCUGGGGGAAACACUACCACGGUUAAAGUUAUCAUUGCUGGCGGUAAACCAAUGCCUGAGAGACGAAAUCUUGUUUGGUAUAAAGGCACGAAGCGUCUGCGAGCGACUCGAAAUGGCCGAGUGAGAAUACAAAAUGACGAAUGGCUUCAGGGGGGUGGUAAAUCCAGGAGUACAUUCGGACAACGGAAAGCACGUAUUGGUUGGAAUUCAACUUUGAGUAUUAGGUCACCUCGGGUAACAGACUCCGGAAAAUAUUACUUCAUGGUGGCGUUUCCUAAUACUAACUACACUAUUGAACGUACCAUUAAGGUUACGGACCUUUAAAAAGAGCGUGAAGAAAAUCGUCAUUGAUUGCGCUGGAAAAUAUAAAUAAACGUAAAUGCUUUCAUCAUCUCGUUGAUCCGCUUUGCCUCUUUAAAAUUACGUUCGUGUACCGCGUCUUUUUUCGUCAAGUCAAGACGUGGA